AUUGAACGCUGGCGGCAUGCCUUACACAUGCAAGUCGAACGGUAACAGGUCUUCGGAUGCUGACGAGUGGCGAACGGGUGAGUAAUACAUCGGAACGUGCCCGAUCGUGGGGGAUAACGCAGCGAAAGCUGUGCUAAUACCGCAUACGAUCUACGGAUGAAAGCGGGGGAUCGCAAGACCUCGCGCGGACGGAGCGGCCGAUGGCAGAUUAGGUAGUUGGUGGGAUAAAAGCUUACCAAGCCGACGAUCUGUAGCUGGUCUGAGAGGACGACCAGCCACACGGGGACUGAGACACGGCCCAGACUCCUACGGGAGGAAGCAGUGGGGAAUUUUGGACAAUGGGCGCAAGCCUGAUCCAGCCAUGCCGCGUGCAGGAUGAAGGCCUUCGGGUUGUAAACUGCUUUUGUACGGAACGAAAAAGUUCUCUCUAAUACAGGGGGCGAAUGACGGUACCGUAAGAAUAAGCACCGGCUAACUACGUGCCAGCCGCCGCAGUAACAC
rnacentral:rRNA from 1 species